AGCGAACGCUGGCGGCAGGCCUAACACAUGCAAGUCGAACGAAGUCUUCGGACUUAGUGGCGGACGGGUGAGUAACACGUGGGAACGUGCCUUUAGGUUCGGAAUAACUCAGGGAAACUUGUGCUAAUACCGAAUGUGCCCUUCGGGGGAAAGAUUUAUCGCCUUUAGAGCGGCCCGCGUCUGAUUAGCUAGUUGGAGAGGUAAAGGCACACCAAGGCCACGAUCAGUAGCUGGUCUGAGAGGAUGACCAGCCACAAUGGGACUGAGACACGGCCCAAACUCCUACGAGAGGCAGCUGUGGGGAAUCUUGCGCAAUGGGCGAAUGCCUGACGCAGCCAUGCCGCGUGGAUGAUGAAGGUCUUAGGAUUGUAAAAUCCUUUCACCGGUGAAGAUAAUGACUGUAGCCGGAGAAGAAGCCCCGGCUAACUUCGUGCCAGCCGCCGCAGUAAAAC
rnacentral:rRNA from 1 species